GAUGAAGAACGUAGCGAAAUGAGAUAAGUAAUGUGAAUUGCAGAAUUCAGUGAAUCAUCGAAUCUUUGAACGCACAUUGCGCCCGCCAGUAUUCUGGCGGGCAUGCCUGUUCGAGCGUCAUUACAACCCUCAGGCCCCCGGGCCUGGCGUUGGGGAUCGGCGGAAGCCCCCUGUGGGCACACGCCGUCCCUCAAAUACAGUGGCGGUCCCGCCGCAGCUUCCAUUGCGUAGUAGCUAACACCUCGCAACUGGAGAGCGGCGCGGCCAUGCCGUAAAACACCCAACUUCUGAAUGUUGACCUCGAAUCAGGCAGGAAUACCCGCUGAACUUAAGCAUAUCAAUAAGCGGAGGA
rnacentral:misc_RNA from 1 species